CUCCGCGUGUAUUAAAUAGUUCGAAAACUAUAAAAGAGACACCACCUGCGCAUUGUAGACUCACCACCAUCAUAUUGGGGAAGCCCGCUUAUCAUAGACGCUACCGGCGCAUACGCCACCGGAUUGCUGGUCUUAACUGUCCGGGUGACGAUGCCCGAUGACAACCCUUAAUCAAUUUUACCGGCGAUCAAUCUGCGGAAGUAAUGGUACUGUUCUUCCCAUUAUCUUGCUAUUCUUCGAAGGAAAAUUCCAGAACUUGGCACAUGUAAAGGAAAUUCAAGAAAUCUUGGAAUUCUUGCAUGUAUUCUUCUUAAGAAAAAAUGUAGAACAGUAAGCGAUUGGUAUUCUUAAACGUAUAUUUUAAGGAAAUCAAAGAAGUUGUAGGUUUCAAGAAUAUCAAGGAAAUUCAAGAAAUUCUUGCAGGGUAUAUUAAGAAUUUGUUUUCUAGUUUUUUAGGGACCUCAAUUCGGUCACAGGGGUUGUAUUGACGUCCGAUCAAAACCCUAAACCCUAAAUCAAUUUUCCUGCCGAUCUAUUGGUAUUCUACUGCUCUUCCCAUUAUCUUGGUAUUCUUCCAUCCAUUAAAAAGAAAGAAGGAAAAAUUCGAGAGCUUGAUAUUGUUAGUUUUCUUGGAAUUCUUGCAUGCAAGCUUUUAAAAGAAAAGUUCAAGAACUUGUUGGCUUUUUGAGGUUAUAUAUUUACUCUCAUGGAACAUAUCCAGGAAAUUCAAGAAGUCGUCUAGAAAAAAAACUUAUGUUGUAUGUUAAGGAUGUUCAAGAAUUUGUUUUACAUUUUUAGGGAGAUAGGAGCAUUAAGCGAAUGCCUAACGCUAUUUGGAGUUCGGGGAGCGGGGAGCAUUAAGCGAAUGCCUGAGGCUAUUUUAAGUAGUUUAAUUAAAAGAAGUUGUGAUUUGUAGUAUAUGAAUGAAGACGCUCAAUUGGACAGACUUUCGUAAACACCCUCACUGGUAUAUGUUGUUAUAGGCAGUGGGACCUUCUAUGUUAAGGUGGAUGACAAUGGAUUUGUUUUUUCAUGAGAUGGACUGGUGCUGAUUGGUGAAAUAUAUGCGACAUCAAAAUACGGCCAUCAGAUGAUAUGCAUGCUUUCCCAGCAAGCUUUGGCUUCAAAGGAGAGGCUCUGAGCUAUACUUCUGGCAUUUCUUUGUUGGAAAUUGUUAUUAAAACUCACUGGAGGCCAAAAGAAUAUCGUAAUGUUUUGAAGGACGGCAAGUGUUUGUACCUUGGAAUUGAUGAUUGUAGACAAGAUGUGGGUACAAGUAUAGGCCUACCUGUGUUGACUGCUGUUUGAUAAUAAGGAAAUUUGUUGGGAUUUUUCUUUUUGCAUUCAUUGUUGGUGAUGUAUUUUACAACCAACCAGUUCAAAGGAUCAAAUGCAUUCCAAGUACUUCUAGUUUUCUCACAAUUCAAACAAAUGAAAAAUAUUGAUUUACAUACUUUACUUCUAAAUCUGUACCCUGUCCUGUUUGAUCUUUUGUUUUGCAUAUAUAAUCUGGAAGCCCAAAGAGGGUCUCGUAUUCUCUGAAAGAGUCCGUGCUAAGAAUCGCCCUUGUGCAUCCCAGUGUCUCCUUCAAAAUUGUUGAUAUUGAGAGGUCCAUCUCUGUUAUACAAGCUAACUCAGGAUAUUUUCCUUCUGGCUUCUUAGAUUUUGUUCAUUUGCAUGCAGUGAGGAUGACUUGCUUCGCACACAUGCUCCAUUUAUUAUUUUACUUCAUCAUCUGAAGUUGUAAUUUCUUUUGAAGGAUCUGGUGUCUCACGAGAUGGACUGGUGCUGAUGGAGAAAGAUGUGGUAGUCUUUUUGCAAAAUGUUGGACUGACAUAAUAUUUUUUAUUGUCUUGAUGCUUCUGUACAUAAUUUAUUUUGCCCGACAACUAGGAUGCUCAUAUCUUGGAAUGGUUGUUGUAGUCCGUAGGAUUGCAUGCAUUACUCAACUAAUAGGUUGUUUGACCAUUUGUGUUCAUUAGUAUCUUUUUACAAAUGUUCUUUUAUUUAUUAUUUUGUUGUUUUACUUGUUAUUAGGUAAGCUGGUAUGGCUGUACGCAAUACAAAAUAUUGAUUACAUUUGUUUUUCUUUUAUUGUAAAAUGUUCAUGUACAUCGCAUUCCUGGUGCUUCAUUUGCAAUAAGACACUUUCUUUUCCUGUACCGCGUCCCAAAAAUAUUAUUUUUGUUGAUCACUACUGUAUGUUGAGUUAUUUUGAUUAUUUAUUCUAGCUGAAGGUGAGUUGGAACAUACAUAUAGGUGCUUAGGUACUUAUAGCCCAGCUUAUGGAGACAGUAUGUGUCUGUUUCUUGCAUCUUCUGUUAUGCUUCCAUUUCAUUUGGUCAUUUUAACUAGGGUUUCAAAUGCUUGUUUUACACUAGCGACAUCAAAAUACUACCAUUCAGAUGAUAUGCAUGCUUUCCCAGCAAGCUUUGGCCUUAAAGGAGAGGCUCUGAGCUCUACUUCUGAUGGUUCUUCGUUGGAAAUUGUUACUAAAACUCAUGGGAUUUCAGUUUCAAGCGCCUCACAAUUUGGCACCCCAAGAUUUGAUUCCUCUUCCUUUGGCCAAUCAGUAGUAUCCACGCCAGGGAGCAAAGGAAAAGAAAGUAUACCACCUUUUCUCAAGAGCUCUGGUUUUGGAAACUUAGCAUUUGGCAUUUAUGAGAAAGGAAGUAGAAUAGCAUCAUAUAUUGCAACUCCAGAGAACGAUAUCACAGGACCCGGUGGUGGAAAAAUUCAAUCCCAUCUGUGUAAUAUAAAGAUAAAAGCCAGGAGGAGUUGAGGUUUGAGGACCACCAGUUAGGUGAUAAAGGUGAGAAUUGACAUAUAUAGAUGCUACGCUUAAUACUGCCAACUUCAUGAAAGGAGAGAUAAUAUUAACUUCUCUAGAGCAGCGAGGCGGCUUUGGAAUUGGUUGAAAAGCUAAAUCUGCUCCUUGUGAAAGUAGCUAUGCGCAUUGAAUUGUACUCUUCUCCAAAAAUUUCAGUAAUAAACUGGAAUAUCUCUGUGGGAUUUCUUGUGUCAGCUAUUGAUGCCUUGUAGUUGUCUUUAAUUAGUGAUU